rnacentral:rRNA from 1 species
CCUACGGGGGCCACCAGUGGGGAAUUUCGGCCAAUGAGGGCAAUCCUGCUCCACCAAUGCCGCGUGAGGGAGGAAGGCCCUCGGGUUGUAAAGUUCUUUUGUCAGGGAAGAAACGGAGUUCUCUAGUAUAGGAUUCUAAUGACGGUACCUGAAGAAUAAGCACCGGCUAACUACGUGCCAGCAGCCGCGGGUA